rnacentral:rRNA from 1 species
CCUACGGGUGGCAGCAGUGAGGAAUAUUGCUCAAUGGCCGAAACGCUGAACCAGCCAUGCCGCGUGAAGGUCAGUGCUCUUUGGGCGUUAACCUUCUUUUGUUCGGGAGCAAUAAUGGUCACGUGUGGCCAGACGAGAGUACCGUACGAAUAAGCAUCGGCUCACUUCGUGCCAGCAGCCGCGGUAAUACGGGGGAUGCAAGCGUGAUCCGGAUUAUUUGGGUUUAAAGGAUGCGUAGGGUGGGAGGUAAGUCAGCGGUGAAAUGCACCCGCUCAACGGGGUGAAGUGCCAUUGAUACUGCAUUGCUGGAAUGCGGAAGAGGUGGGAGGAAUGUGUGGUGUAGCGGUGAAAUGCGUAGAUAUCA